AGCGAGUCUUAACUGGGCGCUCAGUCUCUGGAUAUAGACCCGAAACCGGGUGAUCUAGCCAUGGGCAGGUUGAAGGUUGAGUAACAUCAACUGGAGGACCGAACCGACUAAUGUUGAAAAAUUAGCGGAUGACUUGUGGCUAGGGGUGAAAGGCCAAUCAAACUCGGAGAUAGCUGGUUCUCCCCGAAAGCUAUUUAGGUAGCGCCUCGGACGAAUACUACUGGGGGUAGAGCACUGUUAAGGCUAGGGGGUCAUCCCGACUUACCAACCCUUUGCAAACUCCGAAUACCAGUAAGUACUAUCCGGGAGACACACGGCGGGUGCUAACGUCCGUCGUGGAGAGGGAAACAACCCAGACCGCCAGCUAAGGUCCCAAAGUAUUGCUAAGUGGGAAACGAUGUGGGAAGGCUCAGACAGCUAGGAUGUUGGCUUAGAAGCAGCCAUCAUUUAAAGAAAGCGUAAUAGCUCACUAGUCGAGUCGGCCUGCGCGGAAGAUGUAACGGGGCUAAGCAAUACACCGAAGCUGCGGCAAUGUCUUUUAGACAUUGGGUAGGGGAGCGUUCUGUAAGCCGUUGAAGGUGAAUCGUAGGGUUUGCUGGAGGUAUCAGAAGUGCGAAUGCUGACAUGAGUAACGACAAAGGGGGUGAAAAACCUCCUCGCCGGAAGACCAAGGGUUCCUGUCCAACGUUAAUCGGGGCAGGGUGAGUCGACCCCUAAGGUGAGGCCGAAAGGCGUAAUCGAUGGGAAACGGGUUAAUAUUCCCGUACUUCUGACUAUUGCGAUGGGGGGACGGAGAAGGCUAGGUGGGCCAGGCGACGGUUGUCCUGGUUCAAGUGCGUAGGCUUGAGAGUUAGGUAAAUCCGGCUCUCUCUAAGGCUGAGACACGACGUCGAGCUACUACGGUAGUGAAGUCAUUGAUGCCAUGCUUCCAGGAAAAGCCUCUAAGCUUCAGAUAGUCAGGAAUCGUACCCCAAACCGACACAGGUGGUCGGGUAGAGAAUACCAAGGCGCUUGAGAGAACUCGGGUGAAGGAACUAGGCAAAAUGGUACCGUAACUUCGGGAGAAGGUACGCUCUUGAUGGUGAAGUCCCUCGCGGAUGGAGCUGACGAGAGUCGCAGAUACCAGGUGGCUGCAACUGUUUAUUAAAAACACAGCACUGUGCAAAAUCGCAAGAUGACGUAUACGGUGUGACGCCUGCCCGGUGCCGGAAGGUUAAUUGAUGGGGUUAGCGCAAGCGAAGCUCUUGAUCGAAGCCCCGGUAAACGGCGGCCGUAACUAUAACGGUCCUAAGGUAGCGAAAUUCCUUGUCGGGUAAGUUCCGACCUGCACGAAUGGCGUAAUGAUGGCCACGCUGUCUCCACCCGAGACUCAGUGAAAUUGAAAUCGCUGUGAAGAUGCAGUGUACCCGCGGCUAGACGGAAAGACCCCGUGAACCUUUACUACAGCUUGGCACUGAACAUUGAACCUACAUGUGUAGGAUAGGUGGGAGGCUAUGAAGACGUGACGCCAGUUGCGUUGGAGCCGUCCUUGAAAUACCACCCUUGUAUGUUUGAUGUUCUAACUUAGACCCAUUAUCUGGGUUGAGGACAGUGCCUGGUGGGUAGUUUGACUGGGGCGGUCUCCUCCCAAAGAGUAACGGAGGAGCACGAAGGUGGGCUAAUCACGGUUGGACAUCGUGAGGUUAGUGCAAUGGCAUAAGCCCGCUUAACUGCGAGAAUGACGGUUCGAGCAGGUGCGAAAGCAGGUCAUAGUGAUCCGGUGGUUCUGUAUGGAAGGGCCAUCGCUCAACGGAUAAAAGGUACUCCGGGGAUAACAGGCUGAUACCGCCCAAGAGUUCAUAUCGACGGCGGUGUUUGGCACCUCGAUGUCGGCUCAUCACAUCCUGGGGCUGAAGUCGGUCCCAAGGGUAUGGCUGUUCGCCAUUUAAAGUGGUACGCGAGCUGGGUUUAGAACGUCGUGAGACAGUUCGGUCCCUAUCUGCCGUGGGCGUUGGAAGAUUGAAGGGGGCUGCUCCUAGUACGAGAGGACCGGAGUGGACGAACCUCUGGUGUUCGGGUUGUGUCGCCAGACGCAUUGCCCGGUAGCUAAGUUCGGAAUUGAUAAGCGCUGAAAGCAUCUAAGCGCGAAGCGAGCCCUGAGAUGAGUCUUCCCUGACAGUUUAACUGUCCUAAAGGGUUGUUCGAGACUAGAACGUUGAUAGGCAGGGUGUGUAAGCGUUGUGAGGCGUUGAGCUAACCUGUACUAAUUGCCCGUGAGGCUUAACCAU
rnacentral:rRNA from 1 species